AAGAAAUAGAGAGUUGAACUUUGAGAAUUGCAAAAGUUUGGUUGAACUUCCAGGUGGGGAGUCUUGAAUUCUUACAACGUCUUGCAAUAGCAAACUGCAGUCCUUUGAUUGAAAAUUGGUACCAGGCACGUUGUGAAGGUAAUAAUGUGAAGAUUUGGGUUCAAGUCAUUAGAUAUGUAAGUUCUGUAAGUUGCAGAUCGAAUUCCAACACAUUGGAGGCAGUAUGGGUUUGAAAUGUUGUUCCCUCUCUUGAAUGAUGAUCACAUUAAUGGAGUUGGUGUUAGCGUGAGAAGCAAAAGCAGUGGGGCUUGGAUUGUAAAGGAACCUCCUCAAUAUAUUGGGAUCAAAGAAUAUGAGGAAAUUGAAUUUGAGAUCCCAACAAGGAUUGAAGAAGUAAUGGAGUUGUAUGCACAUUUCCAUGAUGUGCAGAAGAUACUUUGUGUAGUUGAAAUACAUAGAAACAGAUAUGGAGAAGUGAGGUUCUUCCCAUCCAAUAGGGGAUGGAUUGCUGCUGCAUCUUUACCCACUCAUCAACUUCAAUUACGCCUGUUAGAGUAGCACUACUUUUGUUUUGAAAAGACUGAAGGAGUUGUAUAUUCCCAAUUGCAAAAGUUUGGUUGAGCUUCC